rnacentral:lncRNA from 1 species
GUGGGCUAAGGCACAGAUUCUCAGCCUGGUGUGGCGUCACACAGGCGCAUGGCCCAGGACGCCUCCUGGGGCUCCGGGGCCACAGGUGCCACCUGGCUCUGAAUGGCCUCCGUCACCUCCAUCCCCUCUGUCACCUCCCUCACCUCCAUCACCGCGGCAGAAUGUGGAGUGACCACAGUCCCAGCCUCACCACUGCCCACCACCCUUCUGUCCCCACAGACUUGACCCUUCCAUAAAUUUCACACAAGGGACACCCACAGCGCUGGGCCCCGGGCCCCUCCUGUGCCAGCAGCCACCCUGGUGACCACCGAACCUGGGCCUAGCCUCACCCGUGACUGUCACAAAGAACCUUCCCCAUCUGCCCUCCUGCCAGGGCACAGAGGGGUGCCAAGGUCUGAAGGUGGCUUGUCACCCAGGCUUGUGACCGUCACAGUGGUCAGCGGAACACUUUGAUGUCAGUGUUGAAAGCAGUGGGAU